AAAGUCGUAACAAGGUUUCCGUAGGUGAACCUGCGGAAGGAUCAUUAAAGAGUUAGGGUCUCCAAGGCCCGACCUCCCAACCCUUUGUUUACUAAACCAAUGUUGCUUCGGCGGACCCGUCUUAACCGACCGCCGGAGGAUCUUUCCCGAUCCUCUGGCCCGCGUCCGUCGAUAGCCCUCCCAAACUCUUUUGAAUCAUGUAAUUUGACCUGAGUAACAAACAAAAAUAAAGCAAAACUUUCAACAACGGAUCUCUUGGUUCUG
rnacentral:misc_RNA from 1 species